AUUGAACGCUGGCGGCAUGCCUUACACAUGCAAGUCGAACGGUAACAGGUCUUUCGGGAUGCUGACGAGUGGCGAACGGGUGAGUAAUACAUCGGAACGUGCCUAGUAGUGGGGGAUAACUACUCGAAAGAGUGGCUAAUACCGCAUGAGAUCUAUGGAUGAAAGCAGGGGACCUUUGGGCCUUGUGCUACUAGAUCGGCCGAUGGCAGAUUAGGUAGUUGGUGUGAUAAAAGCUUACCAAGCCUACGAUCUGUAGCUGGUCUGAGAGGACGAUCAGCCACACUGGGACUGAGACACGGCCCAGACUCCUGCGGGAGGCAGCAGUGGGGAAUUUUGGACAAUGGGCGCAAGCCUGAUCCAGCAAUGCCGCGUGUAGGAUGAAGGCCUUCGGGUUGUAAACUGCUUUUGUACGGAACGAAAAGUCUUGGGUUAAUACCCUGGGAUCAUGACGGUACCGUAAGAAUAAGCACCGGCUAACUACGUG
rnacentral:rRNA from 1 species